GCCGAGACUCAGUGAAGUUGAAAUUGCGGUGAAGAUGCCGUAUACCCGCGGCUAGACGGAAAGACCCCGUGAACCUUUACUAUAGCUUGGCACUGAACAUUGACCCUACAUGUGUAGGAUAGGUGGGAGACUAUGAAGUUGGAACGCUAGUUCUGAUGGAGUCGUCCUUGAAAUACCACCCUUGUAGUGUUGAUGUUCUAACUUGGCCCCAUUAUCUGGGGUAAGGACAGUGCCUGGUGGGUAGUUUGACUGGGGCGGUCUCCUCCCAAAGAGUAACGGAGGAGCACGAAGGUUGGCUAAGUACGGUCGGACAUCGUACGGUUAGUGCAAUGGCAUAAGCCAGCUUAACUGCGAGACAGACACGUCGAGCAGGUACGAAAG
rnacentral:rRNA from 1 species